CUUGAUUAAUUAUUCCUCUGUGGAUGAAAGUCAGGAAACACCGAGAAGGGAAGUUUGUGGUAACCUGAAGAUCUCCAUUUCUUUGGAGUCUUGCCAAGUAACCCAAUGAGAAGACCACCGUCAGUCGUGAAGUCUAUGUGUCCAGCCACUUGCAUUCAACCAAGACCAGGGAAGGGUACAUGUUGCAGCCUGUCCAUCCAGGAGCUCACGAUCUCUGCAGGAUCAAGACACCCCAGUAAACAGAUCACUGCAAUAUGUGGAAAGGCAUAAUGCAAACUGCAUGAGAUCAGGAAUCGGACGGAUCUGAGACUGAAUUCCAGCCCUGAUAAUUACACAUUCUGUGACGCAGGGCAAGUUCUUCCACAUUUUUGAGCCUUGGGUUUCUCAUCUGUGAAAUGUGGAUAACAGAGCCCCCAUGAAGCUGCAGAGACAU